rnacentral:rRNA from 1 species
UACGGAGUGUGCAAGCGUUACUCGGAAUCACUGGGCAUAAAGGGCGUGUAGGCGGGCUUUCAAGUCGGUUGUGAAAUCCCUCAGCUCAACUGAGGAACUGCAUCCGAUACUGUUUGUCUUGAGGACGAGAGGGGAGAGUGGAACUUCUGGUGGAGCGGUGAAAUGCGUAGAUAUCAGGAGGAACACCAAUGGCGAAGGCAGCUCGCUGGGACGUGACUGACGCUGAGGCGCGAAAGCGUGGGGAGCAAACAGG